UGAGGGAUAUUGGUCAAUGGGCGCAAGCCUGAACCAGCGACGCCGCGUGGGUGAAGAAGGUCUUCGGAUCGUAAAGCCCUUUUCCCACUGAAGAGGAAGGACGGUAGGUGGGGAAGAAGUCUCGGCUAACUACGUGCCAGCAGCCGCGGUAAAACGUAGGAGACAAGCGUUAUCCGGAUUUACUGGGCGUAAAGCGCGUGCAGGCGGAUUGGAGAGUUGGAUGUGAAAGCUCCCGGCUUAACUGGGAGAGGUCGUUCAAUACUUCCAGUCUUGAGUGCAGUAGAGGGAAGUGGAAUUCCGGGUGUAGUGGUGAAAUGCGUAGAUAUCCGGAGGAACACCAGUGGCGAAAGCGGCUUCCUGGACUGUAACUGACGCUCAGACGCGAAAGCUAGGGUAGCAAACG
rnacentral:rRNA from 1 species